rnacentral:rRNA from 1 species
GCGGCGGACGGGUGAGUAACACGUUGGGCAACCUGCCUGUAAGACUGGGAUAACCUCGGGAAACCGGAGCUAAUACCGGAUAAUGCAUUUCCUCUCAUGGGGAUAUUGCUGAAAGAUGGUUUCGGCUAUCACUUUACAGAUGGGCCCGCGGCGCAUUAGCUAGUUGGUGAGGUAACGGCUCACCAAGGCAACGAUGCGUAGCCGACCUGAGAGGGUGAUCGGCCACACUGGGACUGAGACACGGCCCAGACUCCUACGGGAGGCAGCAGUAGGGAAUCUUCCGCAAUGGACGAAAGUCUGACGGAGCAACGCCGCGUGAGUGAUGAAGGUUUUCGGAUCGUAAAACUCUGUUGUCAGGGAAGAACAAGUGCCGGAGUAACUGCCGGCACCUUGACGGUACCUGACCAGAAAGCCACGGCUAACUACGUGCCAGCAGCCGCGGUAAUACGUAGGUGGCAAGCGUUGUCCGGAAUUAUUGGGCGUAAAGCGCGCGCAGGCGGUCUCUUAAGUCUGAUGUG